UAUAACUCANAUUUGAAAUCUGGCGUCUUCGGCGUCCGAGUUGUAAUUUGAAGAAGGUAUCUUUGGUUUUGGCUCUUGUCUAUGUUCCUUGGAACAGGACGUCACAGAGGGUGAGAAUCCCGUGCGAUGAGAUGCCCAAUUCCAUGUAAAGUUCCUUCGACGAGUCGAGUUGUUUGGGAAUGCAGCUCUAAGUGGGUGGUAAAUUCCAUCUAAAGCUAAAUAUUGGCGAGAGACCGAUAGCGAACAAGUACUGUGAAGGAAAGAUGAAAAGAACUUUGAAAAGAGAGUGAAAAAGUACGUGAAAUUGUUGAAAGGGAAGGGCUUGAGAUCAGACUUGGAAUUUUCCAGCAAUGGAGCUUUCCGGGCCAGCAUCAGUUUGGAUGGCAGGAUAAUUGCGUAGGAAAGUGGCACCACCUCGGUGGUGUGUUAUAGCCUGCGUCGAUACUGCCUAUCUAGACUGAGGACUGCGUCUUUGACUAGGAUGCUGGCAUAAUGAUCUUAAGCC
rnacentral:rRNA from 1 species